rnacentral:tRNA from 1 species
UGUCCCAUAGUAUAAUGGCAGUACGUCAGAUUUUGGUUCUGAUUGUCUUGGUUCGAAUCCAGGUGGGACAA